rnacentral:rRNA from 1 species
ACACGACUACAUUAGAUACCCGCGUAGUCCCAGCCCUAAACGAUGCGCGUUAGGUGUAUCGGUGACCACGAGUCACCGAGGUGCCGAAGGGAAACCGUGAAACGUGCCGCCUGGGAAGUACGGUCGCAAGGCUGAAACUUAAAGGAAUUGGCGGGGAGCACCACAACAGGUGGAGCCUGCGGUUUAAUUGGACUCAACGCCGGAAAUCUCACCGGAUAAGACAGCGGAAUGAUUGCCGGGCUGAAGACUCUGCAUGACUAGCUG